UGCCAGAUUGUCGUACUCACCCGCUUAUAUUUCCCGACUUCCUACCCCAAAACUGUCUUCUGGGCUCCAAUAACGAAACGCAUUUAUAGUUAUCGUUAAAAGAGUUAGAUGCUGAUGUUUCUUGGCAAUAGUUAGGCGUCAGAAACCGGUAAAUACUAUGCUCUGAGUGCUCUGAGUACGACAAACUGGCAACGGUGUCUUGAGGUCCCAACGUUGCUAGAUUGUCGUACUCAGCCUUUUAUAUUAACCAACUUCCGACUCAAAAACUGUCUCCUGGGCCCCAACAACUAGAUUCAUUAAUAUUUGUCGUUAAAAUAGUAAAUUCCUGAUGAUUCUUGGCAAUAGUUAGCGUCAGAAACCGAUAAAUACUAUGCUCUGAGUACGAUAAUCUGGCAACGGUGUCCUGGGGUCCCCUGCAGGCCACUGAGUUCUCGGGGCCGUGGUACGGGAGAUACGAAUAGUGAGUGAGGCGUAAUAACAUCAUCUGCGCAUGUCUGUUUCUGGAAUCGCUUUUGACCUACAUAACCCUGACAUCACUUCUUCAGAGCUUGCGUGUCAGUCGUCGGCUCCGGCAGCCAGCCCUACCGAUGUCUGGCCCCGCGCUUUUUCAUUUCUCGGCCUGAAUCUUUUAUCCUCUCGCUGCUUCUUGGAGGGGAAGUUGGGUGCUUGAUGCCAGAUAGUGCUGAAGAAAUGGAAGAAGACUGCCUGGAAAUAGAGGAAAAAAAGGCACAGACAGCACUUGCCAGGACGGCUCUGGGGAGAGUAUGCAUUCAGCCUCCUCCCUCUCCAUUGGGAAUGUCAGGUCUGAAUGCCAUCCAUCUCUCU